rnacentral:rRNA from 1 species
CCUACGGGUGGCAGCAGUGAGGAAUAUUGGUCAAUGGACGAGAGUCUGAACCAGCCAAGUAGCGUGAAGGAUGACUGCCCUAUGGGUUGUAAACUUCUUUUAUAUGGGACUAAAAUGUUCCACGUGUGGGCUUUUGUAUGUACCGUAUGAAUAAGGAUCGGCUAACUCCGUGCCAGCAGCCGCGGUAAUACGGAGGAUCCGAGCGUUAUCCGGAUUUAUUGGGUUUAAAGGGAGCGUAGGUGGAUUGUUAAGUUAGUUGUGAAAGUUUGGGGCUCAACCCGAAAAUUGCAGUUGAAACGGGCAGACUUGAGUACAGUAGAGGUGGGCGGAAUGCGUGGUGUAGCGGUGAAAUGCUUAGAGAUCACGAAGAACUCCGAUUGCGAAGGCAGUUCACUGGACUGUAACUGACAUUGAGGCACGAAAGUGUGGGUAGCAAACAGGAUUAGAUACCCCUGUAGUC